rnacentral:rRNA from 1 species
GAUGAACGCUGGCGGCGUGCCUAAUACAUGCAAGUCGAGCGAACGGACGAGAAGCUUGCUUCUCUGAUGUUAGCGGCGGACGGGUGAGUAACACGUGGAUAACCUACCUAUAAGACUGGGAUAACUUCGGGAAACCGUAGCUAAUACCGGAUAAUAUUUUGAACCGCAUGGUUCAAAAGUGAAAGACGGUCUUGCUGUCACUUAUAGAUGGAUCCGCGCUGCAUUAGCUAGUUGGUAAGGUAACGGCUUACCAAGGCAACGAUGCAUAGCCGACCUGAGAGGGUGAUCGGCCACACGGGAACUGAGACACGGUCCAGACUCCUACGGGAGGCAGCAGUAGGGAAUCUUCCGCAAUGGGCGAAAGCCUGACGGAGCAACGCCGCGUGAGUGAUGAAGGUCUUCGGAGCGUAAAACUCUGUUAUUAGGGAAGAACAUAUGUGUAAGUAACUGUGCACAUCUUGACGGUACCUAAUCAGAAAGCCACGGCUAACUACGUG